CGGCUCAUCACAUCCUGGGGCUGAAGUAGGUCCCAAGGGUAUGGCUGUUCGCCAUUUAAAGUGGUACGCGAGCUGGGUUUAGAACGUCGUGAGACAGUUCGGUCCCUAUCUGCCGUGGGCGCUGGAGAACUGAGGGGGGCUGCUCCUAGUACGAGAGGACCGGAGUGGACGCAUCACUGGUGUUCGGGUUGUCAUGCCAAUGGCACUGCCCGGUAGCUAAAUGCGGAAGAGAUAAGUGCUGAAAGCAUCUAAGCACGAAACUUGCCCCGAGAUGAGUUCUCCCUGAGACUUUAAGUCUCCUGAAGGAACGUUGAAGACGACGACGUUGAUAGGCCGGGUGUGUAAGCGCAGCGAUGCGUUGAGCUAACCGGUACUAAUGAACCGUGAGGCUUAACCUUACAACGCCGAAG
rnacentral:rRNA from 1 species